CCACAGUAAAAUUGGUUUUGGAAAACUCUACAACGGUCCGUGUCACCCAUCCCAAUGGAACUGUUACUGUCACCAUAACUUCCACAGUGGCAGUUCCCAGUCUACCUGACAAUAUUCCAAUGGUUCGGUGUGUGGUAUCAUCUGGCAGUGCCAUCAAGGAGGGCUCCAUAAAGAUUCCAACUUUCUUAGUUGGUCGUGGUAAAUCUCUUUUACCAGUCAAUGAUGAUGGUUGGAUGAGGGAUCAUGGGACAGUGGUUGGUGCUUUGAUGGGUUCAGUGGUUCUCAUUGCUUUAAUUUGCAGCAUAACUUGGUGUCUGCAUAAGAGGUAUCAAACUAGCAGUUCCAGUGGGGCGGCUGAGGAGGGAAGGAGUGAGGAGGAUUCACCAGUCAGGAUCCAAUAUCUCCAACAUCCUUCAGAAUAAUCACCUUUAUUUUGAAGUCCUAUUUUGUACAAUGGAGCUGCUAACAUAGCCUGUCAUGAACACACCAUCAAAAGAAGUGGAU
ensembl:lncRNA